rnacentral:lncRNA from 1 species
AGAGGAGAAAAUAUAUAAUCAUAUAACUCACUUUAUUCAUCUCAUAAUCUCUGCAUUUUGCAAGGAGAUCGAAACUGAGCAAAACAUACGUACACAAAGACAGAGAAAUAAAAUAUAGGGUACAAACAAUAUCAAUAGCUUAGACAACAUGAAGCUACAAAAGAACUUCGCCUCCUGUGGGGCUUAUUAUUUACUCUUUUUUUUCUUCUUCUUUUCUCAUUGCCUCUCGAAAUUGGGAAAAGCCUUUUCUUUUAGCUCAACAUUAUGCUUUUCCUGCAUAAGAAUAUACAUUGUGUGCUUAGGUUCUUAGUAAUAUCAAAAGAAACUGAAAAUUCUGAACAGCUAAUAACUGAUAAAUGAAGCUAAGAAAACAAGAAGCAGAGAGCGCAGUUCUUUAUAUUAUAUUAAUGUUUUGCAUGAACACAGUUAUAUAUGCAAUUUGCUUUGCAUUCUUGACAUAUCAUUUGGAAAAUGUCUUAAUUAAUUUGGCUUAAUUACCUUCAACUUCGUGAUGUUACUUCUUAGUAGUGGUAGGGAGGAGGAGGAGAAGCGUAAAGAUAGGGGUGGUGUGGUGCUGGAGACUUGUAGACUGGAGUUGGUGGUGGAGGUGACUUGUAAACAGGAGUUGGUGGUGGUGGAGACAUAUAAACUGGUGCAGGAUGGUAUGGUGUUGGUGAAGGAUGGUAUGGCUUCACUGGUGGCGGUGGUGACUUGUAAACUGGUGCAGGAUGAUACGGUGUUGGUGAAGGGUGGUAUGGCUUCUUGGGUGGUGGUGGUGACUUGUAAACGGGAGCUGGUGGUGGUGGCGACUUGUAAACUGGUGUGUGUGGAGGGUAGUAUGGCUUCUUGGGUGGUGGUGGUGACUUGUAAACUGGAGUUGGUGGUGGUGGUGACUUGUAAACCGGGGUGUGUGGAGGGUAGUAUGGCUUCUUGGGUGGUGGUGGCGACUUGUAAACUGGAGUUGGUGGUGGUGGAGACUUAUAAACCGGGGUGUGUGGAGGGUAGUAUGGCUUCUUGGGUGGUGGUGGCGACUUGUAAACUGGAGUCGGUGGUGGUGGAGAUUUGUAAACAGGGGUGUGUGGAGGGUAGUAUGGUUUCUUGGGUGGCGGCGGUGACUUGUAAACCGGAGUUGGUGGUGGUGGCGACUUGUAAACUGGGGUGUGUGGAGGGUAGGAUGGCUUCUUGGGUGGUGGUGGUGACUUGUAAACGGGAGUUGGUGGUGGUGGCGACUUGUAAACCGGGGUGUGUGGAGGAUAGUGUGGCUUCUUGGGUGGUGGUGGUGACUUGUAAACUGGAGUUGGUGGUGGUGGAGAUUUAUAAACGGGUGCAGGAUGAUAUGGUGUUGGUGAAGGGUGGUAUGGCUUCUUAGGUGGCGGUGGAGACUUAUAUACAGGGUGGUGGGGUGGUGAUGGAUAGACAUGCACUGGUGGAAGAGGAGACUUGUAGAGGUAUGGUUUCUUAGGUGGUGGUGGAGAUGAGUAUUGAUAAUUUGCUGAGCUUUCAGAAGCUAAGCUAAGUGACACUAAAACUACAAAAAGAGUGGCAAAUAGAGAAGCCAUUUUCCCCAUCUUUGAAACAAAUGAGAAAAGUUGUUGUCUUCUUAAGCUUCACUACGACCCCUUUAUAUAGCUUUCAUUUAGACAAUUACCCUUUUCAAGAUUUUCAUAAAUGAAGGUAAAAGUCUCACUUAAAACCUACCAAAGUAAAGUAAAAAAGCUAGAGUAUAUAUGCAUUUUGAUUUGGUUUUGUCAUGUUGUCGGCUCAAAUUGACCUGAGUUGGUACACUUUUUUUGUUCGAUAGAGGCUGCAAGCUAAGCAAAGGAAUAAACUAUUAUGGCAGCUAUACUAUUUCUGAUGCAAUAAUUCAAAGAGAAAAGUCUCCUUUUACUUUCUAUCUUUUUAGACAGUACUGGAACUUUGAAAAACAAAUGUGGAUGCCUCAACUUUGCACGAUUUCAGUUACAGAAAUCAGAGCAGCUAGCUUUUAACUUAAAUUAAUGUUCUAUUCACAUGUAUGACUAAUUUCAAAAAGAAAAAACUAUGAAACUUGACAUUUACUACUGAAAUCACAAAGAGUGAAAUUAAUUCACUUGUAUGAGAAAUUGAUAAAUCGAGUGAAGUUAAUAUUCAAUCAUGAUUAGUAGUGUCAAUCAUUGUGUCGCUCCAAAGUUUUAUAACUAAACUAUGUAAAUGAUAACCAAUACAGUAAAUUAAGUUGAAUUCUCCUUGUAUGAUUAAUGCUUCUAGUGAAGAAUCGGACAUGGAUAGGAGGACUCAGUUCAGCUUAGAACAAGUUAAGUUUUUCGAUCACGGAUAGGUGUACAAGUUAAUUCUUGUGUACUUCUGACUAUAGUUAACUAACCUUCACAUGUGUUCAAGAAGCAUGUCAGGAUCUUUUAGCCUAUAAAAAUAGAGAAUAGUAGAGAAUUAAUUAAACACAAUACAUCAUAUUAAGAGAUAUAAUUCAAGAACCAAUUCAUACUUUGAUAGUAUGCAAAGACCAUUGUGCACUUCCAAUCAACGUAUAAGAAUCAAUAACUUAACUUAGAUCAUCAACUUUGGUGUUUUAUCGGAGGUUUUGGUUUUAUGUUCCCGUCCUUUGUAUUAUCUAUUUCGAUAUUAACAAUAGGGUAAGGGUCCAAAUCAAACCUCCCACCCCUCAACUUGGGGAGGAGUGGGGGAGUUUUAUGUGUAGCAUUUUCAGUAGGUCAUUUCCAAAGAGCUUAAUCUAGAGAAGACAAGAGAAAAACUGUGCAUGUGACCCACUUUUAUUACCAACCAAAUAGGGCAAAAUAUUCAACGAGUUUUGUAGCUCAAUAUUGAAAAUAUAUCUAAUUCAAUCCAAUAUUUCUGAAAAUGUUAGUUAUCAUAGUUUAUCAUCAUGGGAACAGACAAGAGGUACAAAAAAUCAUGUUCCAGCAAUGGACUAAAGUUGCAAAAAGGUAUCCAAAAGCAAAGGAAAA